GCACUGCUUUGGACUAAAAUCAACUAAAAGUAAAUUUCUCCAGGACAACUUAAGAAUGUAGAAUCUUUGCAGAUCUCCCCAGGAUACGAAUACCACAAGGUAGAGUUUAGAAGAGCGAGGAGAGAAAAGCAUCACACUGACUAGUAUUUAUAGACGUCUCUCAGUAUUUACGGCCAAAAACAGACAAAGACAAGAAAAAAGGAGUAAAGGAGCCAAUCUAUCUACAAGUAAAAAUAAUCAAGAAUGGGCUAAACCUCAAGUGGGAAACAACGCAAAUGACCAUAAACUGCUGAAUAAAAUGAGAUAUAGGCAUGCAAUGAAAUAUUAUUCCACAAUAAAAAAGAAUGAAGGACUGAUACAUGCUAGGGCAUGGAUGAAUCUUGAAAACAGUAGGCUGAGCAAAAGAAGUCAGACACGAAAGACCACAUAUUCUAUGACUCCACGUACAGGAAAAGUUCAGAACUGGCAAACCCAGAGACAGAAAGCAGAUGAGGAAGCUGAGGUCCACAGUGGUUAAAGCACCUCUCCAAGGUCACACAGCACGGAACUCAACCCAGGUCUGAAUCCAUCACCCGAUCUCUCGGCCCUCAGGCAACACGGCCUCCC